GAUGUCAUUAUCGAGUUUCAGGGCUUUUAAAUUGAUAUAUUGUUGUUUGGAGUUUGGACGUUCAGUGUUAGCUCUAGAAUGAUAUCUAUGUUGGUGUUUUUAGCAAGAUGUUUGCAUGAUUGCCGGCAUAAAAUUUGAGUUUUGCACUCAAUUCUCUUACUGAAAAUAGCAUGUAGUUAUACUUACUUUUUUUCCUCCAAUAACAGAAUGCUGCUUAUCUGAUCAUCCG
rnacentral:misc_RNA from 1 species